rnacentral:rRNA from 1 species
GAUGAACGCUGGCGGCGUGCCUAAUACAUGCAAGUCGAGCGAACAGACGAGGAGUUUGCUCCUCUGACGUUAGCGGCGGACGGGUGAGUAACACGUGGAUAACCUACCUAUAAGACUGGGAUAACUUCGGGAAACCGGAGCUAAUACCGGAUAAUAUAUUGAACCGCAUGGUUCAAUAGUGAAAGACGGUUUUGCUGUCACUUAUAGAUGGAUCCGCGCCGCAUUAGCUAGUUGGUAAGGUAACGGCUUACCAAGGCAACGAUGCGUAGCCGACCUGAGAGGGUGAUCGGCCACACUGGAACUGAGACACGGUCCAGACUCCUACGGGAGGCAGCAGUAGGGAAUCUUCCGCAAAGGGCGAAAGCCUGACGGAGCAACGCCGCGUGAGUGAUGAAGGUCUUCGGAUCGUAAAACUCUGUUAUUAGGGAAGAACAAAUGUGUAAGUAACUAUGCACGUCUUGACGGCACCUAAUCAGAAAGCCACGGCUAACUACGUG